AUUGAACGCUGGCGGCAUGCCUUACACAUGCAAGUCGAACGGCAGCAUGGAGAGCUUGCUCUCUGAUGGCGAGUGGCGAACGGGUGAGUAAUGCAUCGGAACGUACCGUGUAAUGGGGGAUAACGUAGCGAAAGUUACGCUAAUACCGCAUACGACCUGAGGGUGAAAGCAGGGGACCGCAAGACCUUGCGUUAUACGAGCGGCCGAUGUCAGAUUAGCUAGUUGGUGAGGUAAAGGCUCACCAAGGCGACGAUCUGGAGCGGGUCUGAGAGGAUGAUCCGCCACACUGGGACUGAGACACGGCCCAGACUCCUACGGGAGGCAGCAGUGGGGAAUUUUGGACAAUGGGGGCAACCCUGAUCCAGCCAUGCCGCGUGAGUGAAGAAGGCCUUCGGGUUGUAAAGCUCUUUCGGCCGGGAAGAAAUCGCACAGGCUAAUACUCUGUGUGGAUGACGGUACCGGCAUAAGAAGCACCGGCUAACUACGUGCCAGCAGCCGCCGCGG
rnacentral:rRNA from 1 species